rnacentral:rRNA from 15 species
GGGAGAGGGAACAGGGUGAAGUGAAACAUCUCAGUAGCCCGAGGAAAGGAAAGCAACAGCGACUCCCCUAGUAGUGGCGAGCGAAAAGGGAACAGCCUAAACCGAACUGGUGUCAAAGCAUAGUGGCGUUGCCAGUUGGGGGUUGUGGGACUCAAUAACCGAGGCACUAUCCCGGUACAGAGUUACAAAACUGUUCGUUAGUGGAACCGCUCUGGAAAGGCGGGCCGCAGUGGGUAACAGCCCCGUACACGAAAACGAGACAGUCUCUGAUUGAGCACCCGAGUAACGCCGGAUCCGAGCAAGCUGGCGUGAAUCUGCGAAGACCACUUCGCAAGGCUAAGUAUACGUAGACGACCGAUAGCGAACUAGUACCGUGAGGGAAAGGUGAAAAGCACCCCGAUGAGGGGA